rnacentral:lncRNA from 1 species
CCAGCAUGAAGUAACACGGACUUACCGAAAGGCCUAAUUUGAAGCUUGUAUGAAUAAUAUUCUCGGCAAGAAACUUUAGACCGUUUCUUCUUUCCAUUAAGCACUGUAUGAUGGAAAAUAAAACAAAUUUUAAUAUCUAUUUAUUACAUUUACAGUGCAAAACUUAGAAUAAAUACUAAAAGGUAUAUCUGUAAACCUUGAUUCUCAUUUCCAAUAAUUUGAGAUACAGAAUUAAAUGUGCCAGGAGAAGUGUCAAAAUUGGACAAAUGUUGAGGCUGAAAGUAUAUGCUUUUAUUUCUCUCAAUGCCUUCAUGCCAACCAGAUU